GCCAGAGAAUUACAAGCCAAAACUCAAAACUCAAAGGACUUGACGGUGUCCCAAACCAACCUAGAGGAGCCUGUCCUAUAAUCGAUAAUCCACGUUACACCCCGCCCCCCCUCGAAAUCAGCCUGUAUACCGCCGUCUCUCAGUUCGCCUUAUGACAGACCCAAAGCGAACACAAUAGCCCAACACUAAUACGUCAGGUCAAGGUGCAGCCAAUGGGGGGGCAGAGAUGGGCUACAUUUUCUACCACAACAGAACAUCACCAACCACCACAUGAAACAUGAGUAACAAGGCGGAUUUAGCAGUAAGCCAGACAAGAAUGCCUGACUGAAGCCUGCUCUGGG
rnacentral:rRNA from 1 species